rnacentral:ncRNA from 1 species
UAUAUCUCAAAGGGGUGCUGCGAAAAACGGCUGAGAUCAUACCCAUAGAACCUAGAACAGGUAAUGCUGUUUAGGGACACUAAGUUUCACCAAAAG